AGAGCAAGUGGUGGAUGCCUUGGCUAGUAGAGGCGAUGAAAGACGUGCCAGGCUGCGAUAAGUCUCGGGGAGCCGUCAAGGGGCUUUGAUCCGGGAAUUUCUGAAUGGGGCAACCCAACUAAUAGAGAUAUUAGUUACCGUAUAACGGGGCGAACGAGGGGAAUUGAAACAUCUUAGUACCCUCAGGAAAAGAAAUCAAAAGAGAUUACGCUAGUAGCGGCGAGCGAACGCGGAAGAGGGCAAACCACUAGUUUACUAGUGGGGUUGUAGGACUGCAAUAUAGACUAAACUUAGCUAAUAGAACGACCUGGAAAGGUUAGGCACAGAGGGUGAUACCCCCGUAUAUGAAAGCUUUGUUUUACUUAGCAGUAUCCUGAGUAGGGCGGAACACGUGAUAUUCUGUCUGAAGCUGGGUAGACCACUAUCCAACCCUAAAUACUACUACUAGACCGAUAGUGCACAAGUACCGUGAGGGAAAGGUGAAAAGAACUGAGGUGAUCAGAGUGAAAUAGAACCUGAAACCAUUUGCUUACAAUCAUUCAGAGCCCUAUGAUUUAUCAGGGUGAUGGACUGCCUUUUGCAUAAUGAGCCUGCGAGUUGUGAUGUCUGGCAAGGUUAAGGAAACCCGGAGCCGUAGCGAAAGCGAGUCUUAAUAGGGCGUUUAGUCAGACGUUGCAGACCCGAAACGAUGUGAUCUAUCCAUGAGCAGGUUGAAACCGGUGUAAGAGCCGGUGGAGGACCGAACCCGCUAGCGUUGAAAAGCUAUGGGAUGACUUGUGGAUAGGGGUGAAAGGCCAAUCAAACAUCGUGAUAGCUGGUUCUCUCCGAAAUAUAUUUAGGUAUAGCGUCAUGUAGUAAUACUGGGGGGUAGAGCACUGAAUGGGCUAGGGCAUACACCAAUGUACCAAACCCUAUCAAACUCCGAAUACCUAGUGUGUAAUCAUGGCAGUCAGGCGGCGAGUGAUAAAAUCCGUCGUCGAGAGGGGAACAACCCAGACUAACAGCUAAGGUCCCUAAAUCUCAUUUAAGUGGAAAACGAUGUGGAGUUACUUAAACAACCAGGAGGUUGGCUUAGAAGCAGCCAUCCUUUAAAGAAAGCGUAAUAGCUCACUGGUCUAGUGAUUCUGCGCGGAAAAUAUAACGGGGCUAAAAUGAGUACCGAAGCUUUAGACUUAGUUUUUACUAAGUGGUAGGAGAGCGUUGUAUUUGCGUUGAAGGUAUACCGGUAAGGAGUGCUGGAGCGAAUACAAGUGAGCAUGCAGGCAUGAGUAGCGAUAAUUGGGGUGAGAAUCCCCAACGCCGUAAACCCAAGGUUUCCUACGCGAUGCUCGUCAUCGUAGGGUUAGCCGGGUCCUAAGCAAAGUCCGAAAGGGGUAUGCGAUGGAAAAUUGGUUAAUAUUCCAAUGCCAACUAUAAUGUGCGAUGGAAGGACGCUUAGAGUUAGAGGAGCCAGCGGAUGGUAGUGCUGGUCGAAAGGUGCAGGUUGGAGUUCAGGCAAAUCCGAACUCCUUUAAGCCGAGGCCUUAUAGGUGCGUGAAGUUCUUCGGAAUGAAUCGUAAAUCCUUGAUACUGUCGAGCCAAGAAAAGUUUCUAAGUUUAGUUAUAGUUGCCCGUACCGUAAACCGACACAGGUGGGUGGGAUGAGUAUUCUAAGGCGCGUGGAAGAACUCUCUUCAAGGAACUCUGCAAAAUAGCACCGUAUCUUCGGUAUAAGGUGUGCCUAACUUUGUGAAGGAUUUACUCCGUAAGCAUUGAAGGUUACAACAAAGAGUCCCUCCCGACUGUUUACCAAAAACACAGCACUCUGCUAACUCGUAAGAGGAUGUAUAGGGUGUGACGCCUGCCCGGUGCUCGAAGGUUAAUUGAUGACGUUAGCUCUGCGAAGCGUUUGAUCGAAGCCCGAGUAAACGGCGGCCGUAACUAUAACGGUCCUAAGGUAGCGAAAUUCCUUGUCGAUUAAAUAUCGACCUGCAUGAAUGGCGUAACGAGAUGGGAGCUGUCUCGAAGAGGGAUCCAGUGAAAUUGUAGUGGAGGUGAAAAUUCCUCCUACCCGCGGCAAGACGGAAAGACCCCGUGGACCUUUACUACAGCUUGACACUGCUAUUGGGAUAAAAAUGUGCAGGAUAGGUGGGAGGCUUUGAUCCAUAGACGCCAGUUUAUGGUGAGCCGUUGUUGAGAUACCACUCUUUUUUAUUCUGAUAGCUAACUAGCUUGAGUUAUCCUCAAGUAGGACAAUGUCUGGUGGGUAGUUUGACUGGGGCGGUCGCCUCCCAAAAUGUAACGGAGGCUUACAAAGGUUGGCUCAGAACGGUUGGAAAUCGUUCGUAGAGUAUAAAGGCAUAAGCCAGCUUAACUGCGAGACAUACACGUCAAGCAGAGACGAAAGUCGGUCUUAGUGAUCCGGUGGUUCUGUGUGGAAGGGCCAUCGCUCAAAGGAUAAAAGGUACCCCGGGGAUAACAGGCUGAUCUCCCCCAAGAGUUCACAUCGACGGGGAGGUUUGGCA
rnacentral:rRNA from 1 species